AGGUAAUCGUCUUCCAUUUUAUGGGUAGUUAAUUUUACUGGACAUGCUGUCAGCUCAUCAUAUGAUUACAUUACUGAUGGUUAAUCCAAAAGUAGGCCAAAGGCCAUUUUGUUCAAAUUCUGUGUAUCUAAGUGGCAGUAUGGUGGUUUAGGUGUCUAUGGUUGGAUUUAAACUACAUGGUUCAAGUGACAGAUUUCCCAGACAAAAGGGGCCCACUUUGGUGUAGUCAUGUGGCAUAGCAACAUAUGUAAAUAAAAAUCUGAUAUGAAUGAGAGAGCUGCCAACAUGACUGCAGAGUAAAUUGACAGACUGUUCGCGAGACAUCAUUGAAGUAAGCCGAUCUAUGGCAUGCGUAUACAGUGGACAGAAGAAGUCUAUACACCCUUGUUCAAAUGCCAGGUUUUUGUGAUGUAAAAAUGGGACUUAAAUAAUUUUAAAAAAUCUGCUAUAAAUGUGAGUGAGACAUUGAAUAUCAACUGAAAAAAAAACCCUCAAUGUUGAGAGUGGAAAUGAAAAUAAACAACCAAGAUAAUGUGGUUGCACAAGUGUGCACACUUUCUUAUAACUGUGGAAGGUGGCUAUGUUCAGAAUUGACCAGUCACACUUAAACCUAGGUUAAUGGGGAACUAGCACACCCCUGUCACAUUUGAUUAGUGUAACCACAAAAUAAAGUUCAGAUGUUUAAUUUAGUAGGCUAUUUCUGACAUUUUCUUUUCCCUUUAGAAGCUUUUUUGCUACCUUUUUUGUUUGUUUAUUUUUAAUUAGCCGAAGUCUGACAGUUUUGUGUUUACAAUGACUGCUGUUGAACUGUUUCGUUUUCUCUGCACCUACUCUAAGGCUCCAGUUCUAGCUAUGCUUCACUGAUGGUGAUGAGCAGUGUUUGCGGCAAAUAUAUACAGUACCUUUUGAAAUUAUGAUCACGAAAUUUGACCUCGGUCUUAUCUGACCAUAAGGCAUAUGUCUUUGGUUGAUUUCAAGUGUUGUUGUUUUUCCCAUUGUAAGACAAAGCUUCUGUCUUGACUUUAGAUUUUUGGUUUAAUUAAUUGCAUAGGUUAUAUGUGACAUUGAUGGUAGAAAAAAAAAUAUUGUGAAAUGAUUUAUCCUGGUCUUUUUUUUUUUUUAACACAAAAAUGGCAUUUGAACUGGGCUGUUCAGAUUUAAUUUACAGUUCAUCCACUACACAUAUACAGUACACGUCUUCCAAAACACACUAGAGUUUCAUGGAUAGCAUGCAGUAAUUCAAACCUGCAGCAAAACCGUAUACCUUGAAAUAAAAUGUGGUUUAAACCCAGUAUAUAGUAAAAAUGUUAUGGUGUAAUGCAGAAGUUAACUUCAUUUUACAGUGGGUUGGGGAAAAUCCUUUUAAGCCAACUUAAUUAUUCAAUGUUCCACAUUUCAAUUAUUAUUUACUUUGAGUGUGUUGACGCAUAUAAAUUUAGCCCUUAUUGCAUGCAAGUUGUUAAGGUUUUUUUGUUGUUCAGAAUGUGUAAAACACUGAUAUCUCAGGACAAACUUGACAAUACAGUAAUGUAAAUAGACAGUAAAUACAAUUCUAAAGACUAAAUCGAAUUGUGGCACUUGGACUUGCAGUGUGAAUCCAGCCUAAGAAACGUUAAUGAAAACGGGUAUGUCCUGCUAAUUUCAUUGGUCAACAAAUAUAGAUGUUUCAAUCGGAGCUGCAAGUAAACUAGAUUUUGUUUUUGCACUGA